rnacentral:rRNA from 1 species
GGCUCAGAUUGAACGCUGGCGGCAGGCUUAACACAUGCAAGUCGAGCGGAGAUGAGGUGCUUGCACCUUAUCUUAGCGGCGGACGGGUGAGUAAUGCUUAGGAAUCUGCCUAUUAGUGGGGGACAACAUUCCGAAAGGAAUGCUAAUACCGCAUACGUCCUACGGGAGAAAGCAGGGGAUCUUCGGACCUUGCGCUAAUAGAUGAGCCUAAGUCGGAUUGGCUAGUUGGUGGGGUAAAGGCCUACCAAGGCGACGAUCUGUAGCGGGUCUGAGAGGAUGAUCCGCCACACUGGGACUGAGACACGGCCCAGACUCCUACGGGAGGCAGCAGUGGGGAAUAUUGGACAAUGGGGGGAACCCUGAUCCAGCCAUGCCGCGUGUGUGAAGAAGGCCUUAUGGUUGUAAAGCACUUUAAGCGAGGAGGAGGCUACUGAGACUAAUACUCUUGGAUAGUGGACGUUACUCGCAGAAUAAGCACCGGCUAACUCUGUGCCAGCAGCCGCGGUAAUACAGAGGGUGCGAGCGUUAAUCGGAUUUACUGGGCGUAAAGCGUGCGUAGGCGGCUUUUUAAGUCGGAUGUGAAAUCCCCGAGCUUAACUUGGGAAUUGCAUUCGAUACUGGGAAGCUAGAGUAUGGGAGAGGAUGGUAGAAUUCCAGGUGUAGCGGUGAAAUGCGUAGAGAUCUGGAGGAAUACCGAUGGCGAAGGCAGCCAUCUGGCCUAAUACUGACGCUGAGGUACG